rnacentral:rRNA from 1 species
CGCCCAUACUGAGCAGGUGAUACUAACCGCCAGAAGCAUGAUCGAUCACCCUUGUGGUGUGAGGUUUUUUGUGGAUCGCGGGACCUUAUCCUGGGAGGUAAGCGUAUUAACA